UAAGAACUAGAACCCGGGAAUGAUAUUGGCUUCAAGCCCUUUGUCUAAGCAGAUGCGUUCUUGAUAUGUCCUGUUCAUCUUCAAUGUGGUGUUGAGUUUGACUAGUGGAUCCACCAAAUGCUCCCCCUAAGCUGUUGCUGGGAUCUCCUUAAUAAUCCUUAUCCUUGCAAAGAGAUUCUGCUUGGAUCUGAAUCAUUAUUAAACCAAUACUAUCACCUUUAACAGCUUGGAGCAAAGUGUCGUUCAAUGUCCCGUCUAGACUUACAAUCACCUUCUAUUGAUCAAUCACAAUCACCCUGUAGAUUGUAGACUCCAUAGAGUAGCCGAGGAAAAUAUUCUUUGAUCUUCAAAUGCAAGACUUGCAAAGAGGCAUUUUCCUCCAAACACAUACAAAGAGUUAGUGUUUGCUUCUGAUUGGCCACUGGCAAGAAUGGUGUCUUUCUGGAUUUAUCAAUGAUCAGGGUUCAUCUUGAUCAACCUUCAUUUGUGACGUCUUGUCCUUCGAACACAUACGAACAACACGAAAGAAUCUAGAGUAGUCAAUGAUC
rnacentral:lncRNA from 1 species